rnacentral:lncRNA from 1 species
GAAAGAAGCCAACCAAGCUGCUGUGUUAGUUCCGAAACGUGGCUCAGUUUCUACUGGCCGUUCAGCAGGACAUGGUGGUCGACCACCACAUGGUGGCGGAGAAGCUAACCAAGCUGAGUUAGCCCCGAGACGUGGCUCAGUUUCUACUAGCCCUUCUAGUGGACAUUCUAGAGUGGUCGACCAGGCACCACAUGGUGGCGGAGAAGCCAACCAAGUGGUUAGCCCCGAGACGUGGCUCAGUUUCUACUGGCACUGGUCCCAGUACUGGACAUUCUAGUGGUGGUCGACGACCAGGACCACCACAUGGUGGAAUGCCAACCCACUGAACACACCAACAACUACUGGAAGGCCAUGCAUAUAUAUAUAUAUUUGGAUCUUCAUCUAUGUGUGUGUUGUUAUAUAUUCGAAAUAAAUAUUAAUGCAUGCUCAAUAAGUGUGGAAUGUGAUGAAGAGGCUAGGCUCUUCAUCUACAAACCACUCUACUUAAUCAGUGUUUAUGUGCAAUCGGAUCUUCCACCUUAUUAUGUGAAAUUGCUAUUUCACUUCACUCGUCUCACUUUGUUACUUACUUCACUAUCAUUCUUAUGGUUACUACAAUUGUGGAAUACUAGUAUAUAAAUAGGCACUGCAGUAGUUGUACAAGUAGAUAAAAUCACAGCAGACUUAACCAACUCCGGAAAUAAUUAUGUCUGCCCCAGCUUCGAAUAGCUACUGCUUUUGUUGUUGUGGAUGGGUUGCUGGCUACGAUUUUGUGGUGGCGCCGCUAAUGGACAGAGAGUAUGCGGCGGAGACCGCGGCAGUCUGAAGACAUCAUGUCUGUUAAUUGGGGAGGGGUGAUUUUACUAGUUCUCCUAUUUCAAUGAUUAACUAGUACACCCCACUCGUGUAAUGCACAGUGAGCAUCAAAAUUGCAUUAUGUUAAAUAAAUAAUAUAAAUAUUAAAUGAAUCAAA